GGGUGCGUAACGCGUAUAGAACCUACCUUUACAGAGGAAUAGCCUUUAGAAAUGAAGAUUAAUGCCUCAUAGUAUUGUAGACUGGCAUCAGUUUAUAAUUAAAGAUUUAUCGGUAAAAGAUGGCUAUGCGUCCUAUUAGUUAGUUGGUAAGGUAACGGCUUACCAAGACAGCGAUAGGUAGGGGUCCUGAGAGGGAGAUCCCCCACACUGGUACUGAGACACGGACCAGACUCCUACGGGAGGCAGCAGUGAGGAAUAUUGGACAAUGGAGGAGACUCUGAUCCAGCCAUGCCGCGUGUAGGAAGAAUGCCCUAUGGGUUGUAAACUACUUUUAUACAGGAAGAAACACUGGUAUGUAUACCAGCUUGACGGUAC
rnacentral:rRNA from 1 species